UUAAAAUUUGACUUUUAAGUAAAAAGGCUUAAAUAAAAUAGAAUGACGAUAAGACCCUAUAAAGCUUUAUAUUUAAAAAAUAACUAAUAAUCAAAAUUUAAAAAUUGUUUAUUUAGAAAAUAUUGUGUUGGGGCGACAAAAAUAAAAAUUGUAACUGUUUAUUUAUUAAAAACUUUUAAUAAAAGAAAAAAUGAUCCUUUAAUAAAGAUUAAAAGAUUAAGUUACUUUAGGGAUAACAGCGUAAUCUUUUUUGAGAGUUCAUAUCGACAAAAAGACUUGCGACCUCGAUGUUGAAUUAAGAAAUCCUUUUGGUGCAGCAGUCAAAAAG
rnacentral:rRNA from 1 species